rnacentral:piRNA from 1 species
UAGACUGUAUGAUAUAUGGCUUGAUGUCCUU